GAUGAACGCUGGCGGCGUGCCUAAUACAUGCAAGUCGAGCGAACAGACGAGGAGCUUGCUCCUCUGACGUUAGCGGCGGACGGGUGAGUAACACGUGGAUAACCUACCUAUAAGACUGGGAUAACUUCGGGAAACCGGAGCUAAUACCGGAUAAUAUAUUGAACCGCAUGGUUCAAUAGUGAAAGACGGUUUUGCUGUCACUUAUAGAUGGAUCCGCGCCGCAUUAGCUAGUUGGUAAGGUAACGGCUUACCAAGGCAACGAUGCGUAGCCGACCUGAGAGGGGGAUCCGCCACAAUGGAACUGAGAAACGGUCCAGACUCCUACGGGAGGCAGCAGUAGGGAAUCUUCCGCAAUGGGCGAAAGCCUGACGGAGCAACGCCGCGUGAGUGAUGAAGGUCUUCGGAUCGUAAAACUCUGUUAUUAGGGAAGAACAAAUGUGUAAGUAACUAUGCACGUCUUGACGGUACCUAAUCAGAAAGCCACGGCUAACUACGUG
rnacentral:rRNA from 1 species